GCCUGGGUGGCUUAGUCGGUUAAGCGUCCGACUUCGGCUCAGGUCGUGAUCUCACGGUUUGUGGGUUCGAGCCCCGCAUCGGGCU
rnacentral:tRNA from 1 species